rnacentral:rRNA from 1 species
ACGAACGCUGGCGGCGUGCUUAACACAUGCAAGUCGAACGGAAAGGCCCUGCUUUUGUGGGGUGCUCGAGUGGCGAACGGGUGAGUAACACGUGAGUAACCUGUCCUUGACUUUGGGAUAACUUCAUGAAACUGGGGCUAAUACCGGAUAGGAGCUCCUGCUGCAUGGUGGGGGUUGGAAAGUUUCGGCGGUUGGGGAUGGACUCGCGGCUUAUCAGCUUGUUGGUGGGGUAGUGGCUUACCAAGGCUUUGACGGGUAGCCGGCCUGAGAGGGUGACCGGCCACAUUGGGACUGAGAUACGGCCCAGACUCCUACGGGAGGCAGCAGUGGGGAAUAUUGCACAAUGGGCGGAAGCCUGAUGCAGCAACGCCGCGUGCGGGAUGACGGCCUUCGGGUUGUAAACCGCUUUCGCCUGUGACGAAGCGUGAGUGACGGUAAUGGGUAAAGAAGCACCGGCUAACUACGUG